rnacentral:rRNA from 1 species
GCGAUUGCCUUAGUAGCGGCGAGCGAAACGGCAGAAGGGCAAACCGAAGAGUUUACUCUUCGGGGUUGUAGGACUGCAAUGUGGACUCAAAGAUUAUAGAAGAAUGAUUUGGGAAGAUCAGCCAAAGAGAGUAAUAGCCUCGUAUUUAAAAUAGUCUUUGUACUUAGCAGUAUCCUGAGUACGGCGGGACACGUGAAAUCCCGUCGGAAUCUGGGAGGACCAUCUCCCAACCCUAAAUACUCCCUAGUGACCGAUAGUGAACCAGUACCGUGAGGGAAAGGUGAAAAGCACCCCGGGAGGGGAGUGAAAUAGAACCUGAAACCGUGUGCCUACAACAAGUUCGAGCCCGUUAAUGGGUGAGAGCGUGCCUUUUGUAGAAUGAACCGGCGAGUUACGUUAUGAUGCGAGGUUAAGUUGAAGAGACGGAGCCGUAGGGAAACCGAGUCUGAAUAGGGCGCCUUAGUAUCAUGACGUAGACCCGAAACCAUGUGACCUACCCAUGAGCAGGUUGAAGGUGCGGUAAGACGCACUGGAGGACCGAACCAGGGCACGUUGAAAAGUGCUUGGAUGACUUGUGGGUAGCGGAGAAAUUCCAAACGAACUUGGAGAUAGCUGGUUCUCUCCGAAAUAGCUUUAGGGCUAGCGUCGACAUUAGAGAUUCUUGGAGGUAGAGCACUGUUUGGGUGAGGGGUCCAUCCCGGAUUACCAAUCUCAGAUAAACUCCGAAUGCCAAUGAAUUAUGGUCGGCAGUCAGACUGCGAGUGCUAAGAUCCGUAGUCGAAAGGGAAACAGCCCAGACCACCAGCUAAGGUCCCAAAAUAAUUGUUAAGUGGAAAAGGAUGUGGGGUUGCACAGACAACUAGGAUGUUAGCUUAGAAGCAGCUAUUCAUUCAAAGAGUGCGUAAUAGCUCACUAGUCGAGUGACCCUGCGCCGAAAAUGUACCGGGGCUAAAACAAUUUACCGAAGCUGUGGAUACCUUUAUAGGUAUGGUAGGAGAGCGUUCUAUGUGUGAUGAAGGUAUACCGUGAGGAGUGCUGGAACGCAUAGAAGUGAGAAUGCCGGUAUGAGUAGCGAAAGACAGGUGAGAAUCCUGUCCACCGUAAGACUAAGGUUUCCAGGGGAAGGCUCGUCCGCCCUGGGUUAGUCGGGACCUAAGGAGAGACCGAAAGGUGUAUCCGAUGGACAACAGGUUGAUAUUCCUGUACUAGAGUAUGUAGUGAUGGAGGGACGCAGUAGGCUAACUAAAGCAGACGAUUGGAAGAGUCUGUCUAAGCAGUGAGGUGUGAAUUGAGUCAAAUGCUUAAUUCUAUAACAUUGAGCUGUGAUGGGGAGCGAAGUUUAGUAGCGAAGUUAGUGACGUCACACUGCCAAGAAAAGCUUCUAGCGUUUAAACAUACUCUACCCGUACCGCAAACCGACACAGGUAGUCGAGGCGAGUAGCCUCAGGUGAGCGAGAGAACUCUCGUUAAGGAACUCGGCAAAAUGACCCCGUAACUUCGGGAGAAGGGGUGCUGACUUUAAGUCAGCCGCAGUGAAUAGGCCCAAGCAACUGUUUAUCAAAAACACAGCUCUCUGCUAAAUCGUAAGAUGAUGUAUAGGGGGUGACGCCUGCCCGGUGCUGGAAGGUUAAGAGGAGUGCUUAGCGUAAGCGAAGGUAUGAAUUGAAGCCCCAGUAAACGGCGGCCGUAACUAUAACGGUCCUAAGGUAGCGAAAUUCCUUGUCGGGUAAGUUCCGACCCGCACGAAAGGCGUAAUGAUUUGGGCACUGUCUCAACGAGAGACUCGGUGAAAUUUUAGUACCUGUGAAGAUGCAGGUUACCCGCGACAGGACGGAAAGACCCCAUGGAGCUUUACUGCAGUUUGAUAUUGAGUGUCUGUACCACAUGUACAGGAUAGGUAGGAGUCUAAGAGAUCGGGACGCCAGUUUCGAAGGAGACGCUGUUGGGAUACUACCCUUGUGUUAUGGCCACUCUAACCCAGAUAGGUGAUCCCUAUCGGAGACAGUGUCUGACGGGCAGUUUGACUGGGGCGGUCGCCUCCUAAAAGGUAACGGAGGCGCCCAAAGGUUCCCUCAGAAUGGUUGGAAAUCAUUCGCAGAGUGUAAAGGUAUAAGGGAGCUUGACUGCGAGAGCUACAACUCGAGCAGGGACGAAAGUCGGGCUUAGUGAUCCGGUGGUUCCGUAUGGAAGGGCCAUCGCUCAACGGAUAAAAGCUACCCUGGGGAUAACAGGCUUAUCUCCCCCAAGAGUUCACAUCGACGGGGAGGUUUGGCACCUCGAUGUCGGCUCGUCGCAUCCUGGGGCUGUAGUCGGUCCCAAGGGUUGGGCUGUUCGCCCAUUAAAGCGGCACGCGAGCUGGGUUCAGAACGUCGUGAGACAGUUCGGUCCCUAUCCGUCGCGGGCGUAGGAAAUUUGAGAGGAUCUGCUCCUAGUACGAGAGGACCAGAGUGGACUUACCGCUGGUGUACCAGUUGUCUUGCCAAAGGCAUCGCUGGGUAGCUAUGUAGGGAAGGGAUAAACGCUGAAAGCAUCUAAGUGUGAAACCCACCUCAAGAUGAGAUUUCCCAUGAUUAUAUAUCAGUAAGAGCCCUGAGAGAUGAUCAGGUAGAUAGGUUAGAAGUGGAAGUGUGGCGACACAUGUAGCGGACUAAUACUAAUAGCUCGAGGACUUAUCCAA